rfam:Glycine max cultivar Williams 82 chromosome 18, whole genome shotgun sequence.
UUUUGAUUGGAUGAUGACUGUCACGUGUCAAGUUCUGAUUGGAUGUUGACUCUGUAGACGAUGAAAAUGUAUUCUUGUUGUCAACGUCCAAUCAGAAUGUGACACGUGACAAUCAUCAUCC